rnacentral:lncRNA from 1 species
GGUGAUGAGCUGGUGUCCAAUCUGCAAGAGCAGCCAGGAAGUCAGUAUGAAAGCUAAGAAAUGAACUAAGUGAAGAAGCGAAAGGAAGAAAAAAAUAAAUCGGCCUACCUCAAGAAAGGACCCCAGAGAGUCCCAAACCCGCUGUUCAGGAUCGGCAUGGACGAUCCUGUGGACGAUCUCGGGCAAAACGCACCUGUCGACCAACCUUUUUAUUAAAUCCCUAUUGUUGAAGGGAUUCUCUCUUGGAUCCUCUUUGGAGCCGUUGGACCCUUCGAUGGUAGCCCUGCUGUUGCUGCUGAUCUUGCGGGCCACCGUCUUCUUCCUUCUCUUCCUUUCGACCCCCGAUGCCUCC